UUUAAUAAAAAGGACAAAAAAUUAAUAUUCAUUAACGCGUGUUUUUUUGACUUAAAUGAUAUGAAAGAAAAUUGUGUUUGAUGCAAAAUUGUGGAAAAACGGUUGUCCGCAGAAAAAAAAGUUUUGAGACAAUCUUACACUGUAAUAGAUUCUUGAUUGGUUGUAAAAAAAUCUUUCAAAUGAAACUUAGUUUGGCAAAGAUAAGGCCACUUAAAGCACAAGAGAGCAAAAAUCAUAAAAACCGUGGUAACUCGAAAACGAGACGAAAACGAGAAAAUUACCUCUUAAGUUAUUCGACUUAAAAUGACCUCAGGAAUCCAUGGUUUUCAUUUGGGGCGGUGACUGUGGGACACCCUGUAUAUUGUUUUUUUUUUUGUGUUUACAUAAUACUUUUUUUUUUUUGUUUCCUAUUUCCUCACUCAGGCAGGCAGAAAUCAUUCAUGAAAUUAUGAAGAUGCUGCAGAGAGUAGGUAGAUAGUAGAUAUUUUUUGCAAGAUCAUUAUCUUUGGUUUUCAAAAAGGGUUGUUUUGUUCAUGUAGACUCUUGGGUUUUUCCUAACAAUUCAUUUCGUGUUUAUAAUAGGUGUGUUUUUUAUUACCACCGGUCUUAACUGGACAAAAAAAACGCAGUCGGGGCUAAGCAAUUUACAUGUUAAAUACAACAACACUUUAGCCCCUUGGGCUUAGUUGUUUAGCCCGGAGAAUUCUUUGGGCUUAACUUUUUGAAGAGUUUUAAAUCGGUGCUACCAAACCAUAAAUUGUUCAGAAUUUGUUAAGAAACGUCAAAACUAACGUUUGAAAUGGUAAAAUAAAAUUUAAAAAAAAAAAUUAUAAAAAAAAAAGAAUUUUAUUUUUUUUUAAACUGAAAACAAAAUCUCAAGUUUUUUCAGAGCCCCUCCACAACACUCAGGUCAAUAAGAAUCCUGUAAACUCAUCAAAAAAAUAUCUAUAUUUAAUAUUUGGUAAGUAUAAGCCUCCUACAUAUAAUAGCCAAGGUUCUGGAGCAAGCCAAAUACCAUGAAAAAUCAGCAAAAUUACCAGGUUUUCAAAAAUUAUUUUUAAUUCAAGGAUAAUUAAUACGUAUUUUUUUUAUUAUUUAUUCAAAAAUUACUAUUCUUAAGCUUUAAAAUGCAGUUUCAAACAAAGAGAUAUCUUUAGUAGACGCAAAGCUAUAAUAUCACGAGAAUGACUUUCUGCAAAAGUUCGAAUGCGGGUAGCGGGGAAACCACACAAACAUCAACAAUUACACCCCAAAGAGACACAUCGACAUCGGAACUCUUAUCACAUAUACAUCAAAACUUGCCACCGACACCUACACCAACUGAAGUCACAUCAUGAACAACUAUUGCUGCAGCCGCUGCAGCAUCAGCAGCAGAAGCUUGUUCUUACUAUGAUUAUCGCUACCCACGUCGGUUCAAUGAAGUUUCCUCAACAUCUGCUGCAAGCUCAACAAGUGGGACCGCAUUUAAUGGUCGUUCUUACGAUGGAUAUCGCUACAAUGUAAAUCGCAUUCGCCCAAAUGUUUCCGGAAAUAUUGUCGGGCCACCUAGGCUUGCUCCUUAUCAGCCACGAACUUCAAGACUACGUACUGUUUAACACCAGAUUUUCCAAUGCCUAUCAACGCGAUCGUUUUCACGAAGAUGUUCCUCCUUAUGCAUAUCCAGACCCAGUUGCUCCGGACAUGUAUCCACGAGUUCAGUUUGGGGAUACUCUGAACCUCAAUGCCUUCGAGGUCCAGCUUCAUCGACAACAACACCACCGCAUCCAAAUGCUGCUGUUCCAGCACAUGAAAAUAAUAAUAUACCACCAAAACCAACAGCAGCACCCUCGGCUCCUCAGCCACCACCUGAAUCAACUUUUGAAAUAAGUUCUGAACAACAACAGCAACAACCACCACCACCACCGCGACGUGCAAACAUUUGCUCACCGCCAGCUGCACAUUCAACAGAGUUCCAAUUAUCCGCCAUAUUUUGUGCGUGAUGUAAGUCAAAUGCGAGUAUCCAACAUUUAGUGCAGGAACAAAACAUCAUCGACCUCAUCAAGUAGGAGCUCCACCACCCUAUCUUGUUCAUCAUAAUCUUUGGUGUUGCCAACAAACCAUGCAGGAAAUACAUCGCCGAUACCUGACUCCAACUCCGAUAGAUUUAUCAUCGAUUCGGAGUUUACCUAGUUAUCGAUCUCGACAGAUUCAAAAUAUAUGUCCAUGUGUUCACAGUAGAACAGGGCCGGUUCCGGAAAGUUGAAAAAAAAGAUUCUCUAUUUUUGUUGUAUUUAGUUAUUUAUUGAGUUAAUUUUCCAGGCAUAUCAAAUGGAAGAAACGUGAAUCAAAUUUGCCAGCUUUAGUUGAAGUUGUUGUCACCUCCAUAGCAUCUUGACCACCACCAAGAACAACAUGAUCCAUAAUUGCACUGAUUGAAGCCGAAUUGACGGGUCUUUCAGUUUUGUAGGUCUUCAAGCACAUUAGCGAUUCCGAGUCGAAUAAUUUGGCUGAUGUAUCUUUAGAGGCGGUAACAAACAUUAGGCCCUAAAUUGGUGUCCCAUUUUGUGGAAAUAAUCCCAUACAAAUGAAUGAAACAGAUUGAAAUUUAUAAAAAAAUACUUUUUAUAAGGAUUGAAGUGUUUGUGCUAGAACGUCCUCCAGAAAAAACUAGACGAAACUUAAAGGAUGUGUAGUCUUGUAUUCUCUCUUUUUGUUGUAUUUAGUUAUUAAUUGAGUUAAUUUUCCAGGCAUAUCAAAUGGUCAGUUUGUCAAUUUCAUUUGAACCCCCACCGACAACACAGCCCAGACAAAGGCAUGUACCUGCUGUACAUCAUCAUAUGAUUCAUCAUUAUACUUUGCCUACACCUGUGCGUUUGGAAAUCGAUUUGAGAGCACCAUUGAAAAGCUUAAGAUCAAUCGAAGAUAUCGGAUCUAGAAUUGUAUUUGGUCCAACUACAAUACGAAUCCCCGACGAUCAGGAUUGCGUUUUAAAAGUGUGGACACCAGAACUACGUGAAAUGUGUAUUUGAAAUCCAUCACUUGUACCCUACGGCGAUCAACUACUUGGCAAGAAGGUUCGUGACUCAAUAUCUUAUAGAAUAGGAAAACCUUUUGUUAAAGUUUAUUAAAUGUAAUUUAUUCAAUUUAGAGUUUGUUUGGUUUUAUAAACGAAAUGUAAGGAUUACUUGUUGAUUCCAACUUUGUUGAAAAGCUUGUCCUUGGCUAUUUGCGCCAUGAGACCGUGAAUCAGUUCAAUAAAGGCACAACUGGAAUCUGUAGUUGCUUUAGUUGGUUUAUUUUCUGUGCGCUUUUCAUUUAUAUCACCACCUGAAAACAGAUUAAGAGCGAGGUAAGAGAAGCAAAGGAAAAAAAUAAUGAAAAUUAUUUUUAUUUUUAAGCGGAGUGAUUGAAUAUAAUUCAAUUAAAAAGUUCAAGUGACCUCAAACCUCAACUCUAUAUUCGUUUCGCAUAUGUUCACUUGAACUUUUUAAUUCAGGUAAGAGAAGUUUAUUGCAUUGUCCUGAUUGGACAAAUCAAAUAUUUGUCCAGUUGUGUACUCGGUGUUUGUGAGCAGCCCAGAGCUUCCAAGAGUAUUAACCCAAUAUUAGUUCCACAAAGAAUCAAAGAGCUUCCUAUCAAGAUUAGACUUGAAGUAACGUACCUCAAGUGGAUAGUACUGCUUGCAGUGAACACCGAAAUCCUCAAUUUUAUUCAAUGGAAUCGUUUGGUUUUCAGAUGGUUCUUCAUUUGGUGGCUUAAAGCCUUAAGGAAAUGUCCGGAAGCACCUAGAUUCGGUUCCUUCGACAGGUAAUGCAAAUGCAUCCUAAUUAAUUAUGAAAUUUUCAUGGAAUUGUUUUUUGUUUGACAAUUCCAAUUUGUCUAGUCAGCUGAUUUCGGAACAUUUAAUACGCAGUGCUGCCAAGUUUUUAGGUUAAGCCCCGAGGCGUUUUUUUGUCCAGUUAAGACUGGACAAAAAAAACGCAGUCUGGGCUA